UAGCUCCAUAAACCAGACACAACAAUCUCCUCAACUCUGUUUUCCUCCUUGUAAGAGUAGCAUGUUGGUAAAAGUACACAUCCUUGAGCAACGACGCAUUUACAAUGUAAUAGCAGAACUAUGAAGCCACAAAAGUUUACCUUCAAUUUAUUUGCAUUGCUUCUUAAUGGUACUUCUCUAAAUCAACAUCAAGAUCUUCUGCAAAUGUCUACUCACCACGGUCUCUUCUCCAUCUACAGACCCUUCCAAAUCCACGACCACCACCAUCCCUUCGUUGUCCACUUCUGGGAACACCAUUCGGAUUUCCAAAUCCGCCAUUUGUAGUUGGUAGAACAGCAACAUGCGUCAUAAUAUUAGUUCCUACACUACAGGAAAAAUGAGAAAUAGCGGCAGUUUAGAAGGGGGCUAAAGGCAGGCUGCCACUACAAAUAAUAUUCUAUAGCCGCAGUCAUUUAAAACUGCCGUUAGAGAGUAUAGCGACUGUCGCUAAUAAAUAAUGCGCGAAUUUGGGAUAUUUCCUCCCUCCUAUUUCAUUUUCGAUCCCAUUCUCUUCCCGCCCUCUUUCUCUCUCUUACAGUCGACCUCUCCCCACCGGACGACACCCAAGGACACCAGCCAGCAUGAAUAGAUAAUAAUAUUUCUCUCUCCCUCUCUCUUUUCUACUGUCCAUCACCAGUGGAGUUUGUCUCAGAUUUCCACCAAAUAGCACCAAUUUGCGACUUCAACAUCAGUGGUUGAUUCAAUCUCUUCACCACAACAUUGAACCAACGCCUCGAAGGAUACAUUAAAGGUGUCUUCUAUAUUCAGCAUGAGCAAAGUGACCAGAAAGGGUUAGGGAUGAUUGUUGAAGGUGAUUGCAAAGUGCUUAUCUCAUGGCUCAAUUCUGAGGAAUAACCAUCAUGGAAUUUCAGGGUCUAGCCCCUACUAAUUUUGAUCGGGGCUACAAUCUCUAUUUUCAUUGGCUUCCCAUCAAGCUGAACAUUGUUAUACCUCUUGACAACAGCUAGAG